UUCGGAUUUUUAAGAGCAGCGUCGGCUCUUUUUGCCUCUUGAUGACAUUGAAAAUGAAUUAUGUUGAAGUAGCU
rnacentral:sRNA from 1 species